ACAAAUGACCAGGUAUGUGUAGACAGUCAUCUCCUGUACCUCUUCCCUACCCCUAAAUUGUUAAAAGUGGUAUUUUUCUGUUUAGAGAGACCAGAAAGCAGAAAUAACCGUGUGUUAUCACGCUCAUCUGGAGAGAUGAACAUGCCUGCAAUCAUUGGGAGAAAGACAGGGAUGGAGAAACGGAAAUACCACCACCCUCCAGCCAAACCUGGGAGGACUGAUUGCAGGGGAGCUGCUGCUCCAGAUGUUGCACUAGAGGCGCUGCGAGUGUGAGCAGGUGGCAGUGGGCAACAUCAUGGGUUGUAGCAGAUGUUCUCAACAUUUCUUUUGAAACUUCUUUAUAUUGCCUUGCAAGAGGAGCCCUAGAGCCUCAUCCCUGGGGUAGCUACUAUGCUCUGGUAUGAUGCUGUGCUGUUCUAUUUCAUCCUUCCUGUUCUAGCAGAGGAUCUAGGUUAGAAUUUAGUGGUUUCUUAUUGCAGACAAUUAUGUAGAACUGGAAGUGGAAUGUUUGAAUUAUACUGAUAUUGUGAUUUCUUUGAGAUUGUUUAUUAUGCCUUAUUAUUCUUAUACUUGUUCACAGAACCCCCAAAUAGUGAGUGCCUAACUCAUCAUAGAUACUUAGCAUUGUGAUUUUGUUUGAAUUGUAUCUAGUUGUAAACAGUUCCUUACUGAUUUUUAAUAGAUGUUAAUCUAAUUUUUAUUCUUUUAAUUGAUAAAGAAGCACAUAACAUCAUCUUUACUUCUACUUAGAAAAACUAUGUCUUCAGGUAAUGUUUAACCAGUUUCUCAACUCUUAUGUAGGAGAUUCAGCUGGCAACCCAUAAAAUUCUAUUUCAGGAAUAUUUAAUUAUAAACCUCUGUCUAUAUUAGCAUGAAUAAACACUGUAGCUAGUAAUGAAAGUAUUUUUCUUCAUACAAAAUAGUAUUUUUCAGAAUUCUGGGAAAUGUCAAAGCAAUUUUGGCUGUAGUCAUGCUGCAUUUAAUGUUAUUGAGAAUGUUGCUAACAUUAACAAAAAUAUUCCGUAAUUUCCUCAGUUAUUGCUACUGGUGAUGAGGGAUGUAAAGUUGGCAUGCUUUCAUGUUUUGAGCAUUUUCAUUAUACACUUUUGAUUUUACAUGUCAGAAGCGAUCUUUGUUUUAGGUAAGAUAGCUGAGAACAUUUUUACUUAGGGAUGGAGGUCAGGCUCUAUUUGUAUUUUUAGGCCAGUGCCUUAUAGAAUAUAAUGAAUGUAUCAGAGUAAAAACAUGUACAGUUUUGU
rnacentral:lncRNA from 1 species